GUUGAGGGGAAUGUCGUCUGGCGCGAGACCGGCCGGACAGCAGGCGGCGUGGGCCGGCGCCUCGGACGGUCUCGGACCAGGCUUCAUUCCCCCCAAC
rnacentral:pre_miRNA from 1 species